rnacentral:lncRNA from 1 species
ACUUCCGGCGUAGCCAUGGCGGCUAACGCUACUACCAACCCGUCGCAGCUGCUGCCCUUAGAGCUUGUGGACAAAUGUAUAGGAUCAAGAAUUCACAUCGUGAUGAAGAGUGAUAAGGAAAUUGUUGGUACUCUUCUAGGAUUUGAUGACUUUGUCAGUAUCCUUUUAAAAGUGAAAUCACACCAGAAGGAAGAAGGAUUACUAAAUUAGAUCAGAUUUUGCUAAAUGGAAAUAAUAUAACAAUGCUGGUUCCUGGAGGAGAAGGACCUGAAGUGUGAAUGAGUUUCCUUGACUUACACUAGAUUUUGUUUUGGCUUAUAAUGACAAGAAAAUGGAAUUUUUUUUCCCACUUUCUAAUGUUUAAAUCCCAUAAAGCUAAGUUUCCCGUUAAAGGGAAGUGCUUUGAAGAUGUGUACCCAUUUUUGUAAGUUAAUCAUGAUUAUCCUGGAAAAAGAAGAAAAGAGCUUCUUCUUUGCAGAUGAAAAUAAAGGUGUUUUUGGUUAA